rnacentral:rRNA from 1 species
CGCAGCCGCGGUAAUUCCAGCUCCAAUAGCGUAUAUUAAAGUUGUUGCAGUUAAAAAGCUCGUAGUUGAAUUUCGGGAUCAAAGAAUCGGUCAUGCCUUGGUAUGUACUGGUUUUAUUGGUUCUCACCUUCUAAAGAACCAUGAUGUCAUUCAUUUGAUGUUAUGGGGAAUUAGGACUGUUACCUUGAAAAAAUUUAGAGUGUUUAAAGCAAGCUUACGCUUGAAUACAUUAGCAUGGAAUAAUGAAAUAGGACAUCAGAUUCUAUUUUGUUGGUUUCUAGGAUCGAUGUAAUGAUUAAUAGGGAUAGUUGGGGGCAUUAGUAUUCAAUUGUCAGAGGUGAAAUUCUUGGAUUUAUUGAAGACUAACUACUGCGAAAGCAUUUGCCAAGGAUGUUUUCAUUAAUCAAAGAACGAAAGUUAGGGGAUCGAAGACGAUCAGAUACCGUCGUAGUCUUAACCAUAAACUAUGCCGACUAGGGAUCGGAUGAUGUUAAUUUUUUAAUGACUCAUUCGGCACCUU